GACGAACGCUGGCGGCGUGCUUAACACAUGCAAGUCGAACGGUGAAGCUCCAGCUUGCUGGAGUGGAUCAGUGGCGAACGGGUGAGUAACACGUGAGCAACCUGCCCCUGACUCUGGAAUAAGCGCUGGAAACGGCGUCUAAUACUGGAUACGAGAAGGGUCCGCAUGGGCACUUUCUGGAAAGUUUUUCGGUUGGGGAUGGGCUCGCGGCCUAUCAGCUUGUUGGUGAGGUAAUGGCUCACCAAGGCGACGACGGGUAGCCGGCCUGAGAGGGCGACCGGCCACACUGGGACUGAGACACGGCCCAGACUCCUACGGGAGGCAGCAGUGGGGAAUAUUGCACAAUGGGCGAAAACCUGAUGCAGCGACGCCGCGUGAGGGAUGACGGCCUUCGGGUUGUAAACCUCUUUCAGCAGGGAAGAAGCGAAAGUGACGGUACCUGCAGAAGAAGCACCGGCUAACUACGUG
rnacentral:rRNA from 1 species